rfam:Bacillus thermozeamaize isolate ZCTH02-B2 BIN02_NODE124919162497, whole genome shotgun sequence.
UAACCAGAACCGAAAGGUUCUAUUGAACGUACAGGAGUCAGCAGAGGCCAUAGUACUGGAGUAAGGGACGCCUGAAACAGGAAGGGC